rnacentral:SRP_RNA from 1 species
CCGUGCUAGAUGGGGAGCUGGCGGUGCCCUGCACCCGCAAUCCGCCUUAGCGGGAUUGAAUUCCUGCCUGAGGUCUUCCCCGUGUGAGGUCUGGUCCAUGGAUGACGUGUUGACGAACAGGUCCUGCGCAACGGAAACCUCUGAAUCGUGUCAGGUCCUGACGGAAGCAGCACUAAGGAGACCCUUUCGUGUGCCGCAGGGGUGCCUGAUCCGAGCGAAGUCCAUGGAGUCCGCUCAGGCGGGGAUGAUCGAAGGCAGGUGCGCGG